rnacentral:rRNA from 1 species
UACGUAGGGGGCAAGCGUUGUCCGGAAUCAUUGGGCGUAAAGCGCGCGUAGGCGGCCCGGUAAGUCCGCUCUGAAAGUCCAGGGCUCAACCCUGGAAAGCGGGUGGAUACUGCCGGGCUAGAAUCCGGAAGAGGCGAGUGGAAUUCCUGGGUGUAGCGGUGGAAUGCGCAGAUAUCAGGAGGAACACCAAUAGCGAAGGCAGCUCGCUGGGACGG